rnacentral:rRNA from 1 species
AUCCUGGCUCAGGAUGAACGCUAGCGGCAGGCUUAACACAUGCAAGUCGAGGGGUAGGGCAGCAAUGCCUGAGACCGGCGCACGGGUGCGUAACGCGUAUGCAAUCUACCUUGUACAGGGGAAUAGCCCAGAGAAAUUUGGAUUAAUGCCCCAUAGCAUAUUUGAAUGGCAUCAUUUAAAUAUUAAAGUUCAGGCGGUACAAGAUGAGCAUGCGUCCCAUUAGCUAGUUGGUAUGGUAACGGCAUACCAAGGCAAUGAUGGGUAGGGGUCCUGAGAGGGAGAUCCCCCACACUGGUACUGAGACACGGACCAGACUCCUACGGGAGGCAGCAGUGAGGAAUAUUGGGCAAUGGGCGCUAGCCUGACCCAGCCAUGCCGCGUGCAGGAAGACGGUCCUAUGGAUUGUAAACUGCUUUUGUACGGGAAGAAACCCUACUACGUGUAGUAGAUUGACGGUACCGUACGAAUAAGGAUCGGCUAACUCCGUG